CCCUUGGUGACAGGGCAAUCUGUUCCCAAGUCACUUUGAUACUUGCUUUUCUUACACGCACACACGAGUGUGCAAGGUGGGUUGCUGGUCUCUCCCUUGGAAAGGUACAAUGAACCACUCAGGUUCCUCUGCCCCCAUACCAUGCUCAGAAUCCCCACUAACCUUUUCCACACCAGGUCCCCUCACUCUGCCCUAAGCUGUCCAUGCUGCUUCUCUUUGCUGUUGGAACCACACCUCGGGAAAGGCCUGCGAGCAUUAGGAGAGGUUCUCCAAAAGGGCAGACAGACGUCCCUCGAUCAGAUUGCCAAAGGACUUGGUUCCCUGUUCCCACAGUCUCUUCAUGUCUCUGGCCCUCAUUGAAUUGAAAGUAUCUAAAAUAUAUUUGCUUGCAGAAAAUAGGGACAAUAAAAAGGAAAAUGGACAACAUUGGUCUCAUCACUCACAAAUAACCUGUGUCGCCAUUUUAGUAUCUCUCCUUCUACCCUGGGAAAGAAUAAGUGUAAAAAACAAAGCUUAAUCGUUGACUUGGGGAGCGAGGGGUAUUAUAAAGCUAUUACAGUUUCUGUAAGAAAUUCAAGUCUUAUUUGCUGUUUAAGCCAUUGAAGUGUUCAAAAGACUCAACCAUACUAACUUUGCAGUUUAAGUAAUAAACCUGUCAUCUAUGAGUAAACGCUCAAGUAAUAAUGCUUUUAAAAAUGGUAUUUAUUAAAUGUAUUGGUUUAAUAAACGAAGCAAAAAGACAAUACAGAUGGGAGUGAGUAUUGCUUUCCAUGGGCAGAAGCCCUUUGGCUCCAAAGGAACAACAACAUAAAGGAUAAGCGGUAAGUGAUUGAGACUUGGGAGAAUGUGAUGAAAGGACAGCAUAGAAAAUGCCAGAAAGACUUGGGAGGGGCCAGAACCAUGAGAAUGACAGGAGAACAGAUGCCUCAGAUGCUUCGGAACAAGCAGGCCACAUGGGGGAGGUGGCAGGAAGGCCACAUCUGCUCAGCCAGAGCCUCCUUAUCCCCAGAGGAGGGCGAGAGGGAUGGCUGGGAACAGGCACGUAGGAGGGUCUCUGAAUGGGGUCAGGAGGGAAAGGUAGAGAUCAUUUCUAGGGAGAACCGAGAGGUGAGAAAUGGGCGCCUGCCUGGCCGCCACGAUCCAGAAAGUCCAAAACUGCUCAACCAAUUUGGACGAGGCAAGCGAGGCUGGAAGGGCUGGUGGAGAAGGCGGCUGUACCAGUCUGCCCCCCUGUGUCCGGUUUGGAGCUCAUCUCUUGGCGCCCGAUGGGCCCACCGUGGGCCCAUGUGGCUGUGCCGGGACAUGGGGAGAAGCCGCGCUGGAAGCCAGGGCAGGCGGGACAGAGCCCCGGGGGCUGUCACCAGCAAAGCUUCCACAGGGCGCCCGCAGCGUUUGCACCGCGCAGCCCAGGGCUGAGCCGGGCGCAGGCUCCAAGAAGGGCUCAGCGCACACAACUUCAAGGACACUCAAGUGCAUAUCGAUGGGGCUGCCAACGGGAGCGGCCGCUCGGGGCAGCCCAUGCUAGCCGGGACAUUGGCAUGGCCCUUGCUGGGAAGCUCGGGAAACCGCGUCAUCCGUGGCGGCGCCCCUGCGCAGUCGCCCGGAGACCGCGGCUGGGAGAUUUCCCCCUCCCCCAUCCCCACAAAGCCUGCCGUUGGAAGACGUUGGCCGCUCGCCACCCCGGCUUCCUUCCGUUAGGGUCACUGGGCCCCGGGGGUCCCGGGAGCUGCAGGACUCGAGGUUGACCAGGCGCACUCUGGCUGUGGCAGGCCCUCUGGGAGGCUGUGCAGACUUGGAGACCCAAAAUCUAGACUGUAGCUGAAGCCUUGAGCUAUAGCAGAGCCAUAUAUUCUUGUGGUGACAGUGGCCUUAGGAAAAAAAUUCUCUCUCUUGGAUGAUUAGGUCUGAGCUGUGCAAGCCUUCUUAAAUAAUACAUUGGCCUGUGGGAUGGCCUUUGGGGGACCUCUGGAAAAUUUCAAACCUUGUUAUGGACACAGGGUUAUAUAGUAAAUAUUAAAUUGGGUGAAUUUGUAGUUACACCCAUAAAUACUGAUUUUGAGCUGCCAAGCUGACAGAUGACUUUAGCUCAGGCUGAGGAUUUUAGCCAGCUUUUCCGACUACGAGAAGGGAGUGCACAUGCUUCCUACUCUUUGAGUGAUCUCUUAGGGAAUCUAGUCACCAAUUUAGUGAAGCCUACAACCAUUUAGGGUUCCACCAACUCAGCCUCUGCACCCCGCUCACAGAUUCCUGUCACCACCAGACAAGACUAGGAGUUUCUACCAUCUGGGACAUACCUAUUUUCCUUCUGUUCCUUUCUUUGCCUAUCAAAGCCCUCAUAUCUAUUAUGAUACAACAAUGUAUCCCCCCUCUUCUUCUAGUAGAAGUCUCAAAAUGACUGUUAAAUCACUUUGAUGUUAUUGGAGAAGUCACUUAACACUUAAGCGUGCUGUUGGUUUCAAGGGAUUAAACAAAAUAUUACCCUCAGUGAGUUCCCUCCCUGGUGGGAGAGUUCACUUUGCCCUUGUAGGGGAGGAGGACGUUUCCUCUCCCCAAAUGGGGGUUCGUCUGGCCGGAGAACGAAUUAAAUUCACAUGAGACAGAAUAGCAAGAGAAAAUUAAACAAAGCUUUAUGAGGAACCAUGGCCCGGGGCCUUUCUUCCCGAAGGAAGAAAGGGCACCGAAGAAGUGGGGUACACAUAGUGGUUAUAUACCCCCAAACGGGGUGUUUCACAUGUGAUUGAAAUGUCCCUUUUACAACAGUCAUGAGGCUGCUCUGUCAGCACAGCUCUUGAUGGAAACGGCAGAUAGGUCUGCUGUCUCAGUGAGCGCCGCAGGGUGGCAGGUGUGUUGCCUCGGGCUGGGUGGGGGGUCACAGAUGAGCGCUGCAAUCGGUUCCCAGCCUAAAGAAAGAUGCUUAAUCUUUAAGGAGAUGCCAAAGUUGGGAGGGGGAGGGAAGUCAGUUACAGGAGGUUACCAGAUUAGCACAAUAAAAUGCAGAUUUUAAGUCCUUGCCUUUGGCAUUGAUUAAGAGUUUCUAGAGAGAAGGUCAUCUCCCUUCUUCCUCCUGGUACAGAGAGGGAGGCAGCUUUUACAGAUAGAGAUUUACCUUACAAAUGUAAAUGUGUCCUAAGGAAGGGCAAGUUCCAUUCCUCAGAGCCUCCUUCCCUGUCCCAGUUUAUCAAAAGCAAUCAGCCUCAAAUAAUCCUGAUGCCAAAGAGACAUAUCUUGGGGUGGCCAAUUCCAGGUCCCCACACCCUCCAAUUAAUGCAGGCACCCUAGCUUGUCAGGUUAAGUAGAGUGUGUGAGCUGCAGAAGGCUCUGAGGUUUGUCUGUUAAUGAGGCAAACAUUCAUGGUGGUCCUAAGUCGGACCCUAAAAUGAUAUCAGAUUGAAUCUAGGUGCGGGCUCACCAGAGUUGUUGGGCAUUGUGGGGUUGGGUGGGGAGUGGGGGUGUUUUUCCCGAGACCAGAACUGGGGAAGCGAAAUAGAUUUCCCCUGGGGAGGUAAGAAAGGCUGCUUUUAAGGUCCUGUGAUGGGGGCACUCUCCAAACCUACUGUAGAAUAGGUUAAGCCUGUAUAUGAAUGUUUACAUCCAUGGUAGGAGAAAUUAGAGAAGAUUUUCCACAGUCAGCAGGGACCCAAAGGAAAUAAGGAUGAGACAUCACUGGACAGUCAUUCCCGACAUGAGUGGAAUUAGAACUUAAUUCUCCUGAACUAGUACUCUGUCUCUGUGAGUGGGCCUGGAAGAUAGAAACAAUAUUGCAGAGAUAACUAAACAGCAGUCCAAAUGUAAUUUUAAGAGCUGUUAAGAAUUUGGGAUCCAGUCUUGAGACUGAAUACCCUUCAGGAUUGAAGGUCUGGGGAGUGGCGUCAGAGUAGCAGGAGUCCGUUGGCAAGGAUAAGAAGUGAUACUCCUUGUUAGGCAGGCAGUCUCCUGUAAAUGGUGUCUCCAUGGUCUGCUUAGAUCCUCUUCCUAAUAGGCAGGAUACUAGAUGUACAAUGUCAGUUAUACAUCCACCUUCUAAAAUGGAAGUCUUUUUCGGCGAUUUGCUUCUUUUGUCUCUUAGCUCUCGCCUCCAUUUUAGCAUCACCAAAGUGCCUAAAGUUAGCAGGAGCUGUUUGCUCCCACACUGAAAACCUGCUCUCUUUGCUGCUGGACUAGGUGGUAAAGAGUGCUGGAUUGUAGUGGGAGCCUGGGGCUGAAUUCAUAGGUAUCCUAAGUUUUGUCCCUUCCUCCAAUUGUUAGAUCGUCUGAGGAGGCCAAAAACGUUUGGAACCCAGAUUAGAGCUGGGAAGAGGGAGCUCACAGAAGCGUCAGCCCUUGUGGGAGAUUGGAUUAUGAUCCAAAAAUGGGGUAGGGACACAAUGAACGGUGUGGAGCAAGGAAUCUUCGCCAGCCUUGGGGUGCUGGUUGGGGCCUUUGCUGUCACUCAAAACAGGGCCUGGAGCUGCCUGUUUGGAGCAGUGUGCUGAAAGGCAAAGCACCAUUGUCCCCAUGUUGGGUGAGAAUACGCACCCUUGGAAGUGCCAGUUCCUAGGUUGAUGGUAAUUGGAAGAGCUCUUGGGGUAACUUUGAAGAAGCCAGAGAAUAGGUUAGAAAACACACAAUUGGAAAUUUCUUGUCUUUUGGGAUAAGACAAGGGGGAAAGGGAAUUACUGCUGUUUACUGGACCCAUGAGCCUUGGCUUUGUGGAUUGUUAGAUGAUACCCUUCUUCCUAGCCAUUGUUUCCCCUUUCACUUGCCUUAGGUCUGGUGAUACCUUAAAGGAAAAAUAAGUGAGGCAGAGGAGGGAAGGGCAAAACCAGAGUGAGCAAAGGAGAAACCAAGAUGAGAUUAUAGACAGAAGAAAAUGUUAGAGAAGUUUAGCUAGAGCAAUAGAGAUGGGUAACUAGGAAAAAAAUCGAUUUAGAUAGAGACUAUCUGAAAGAAAAGAUAGAUGAACAUUGAGGAAAGGACAGAGGCUAAGAAGAGGGAAAAGGCAGUGGCAGAAACUUAUAGGAAAACCAGAGACAAAGGAGGAAAAACUAAACCUCCUUCCCUCUCUCUCUACUUUCCUUCUUUACUCCCUCCUUUUCUUCUGAGUGUCUACCACAUGCCAAGUCCUAGCUAGGUACUGAGGAUGGAAGAUGAGCAAGACUCAUUCCCUGCUCUAGAGGAGCUCGUAUGUAGUGGGGAGAUAAUGAUGUGGCUGACUGUAGAGCACGAGGGUGAGAAAUUGGUUUCCAAGGACUGCUUUUUCUAUGUGUAGGUAAGAGGGGGCUAAGAAAGUGGAGACCCUCAGAAUGAGUUUUGGAGUUCCCUUUGUAACUGCUAUCGGGCUAAGGGUGGAAGGCCAGCUGCUAUCUGAGGAUUCAGACCCUCCUUGUAGCUUCUUUUUGGGUGGUAACUAGGGUGGUGUUUUACAGGUAGUGGCCGAGAGUCUGCAGUGAGUCAGGAAUAGGAUGCUCCCUGGGUCCCCAGUGCCGCACCCCCAGGCACAGUGGGAGGGGUGAUGUUCUCCCCUCUCCUCUCCCUGAAGUACCUGUGCACUGCUGUGAGUUCUCCAGCUGCAACUCACCUUGGGCUCUCUCUUGGCCUUCAUGCUACAUGCAAAAGGGAGGAAAAGGAAGUUGUGGGAAAUUUGGAAAAUACAAAAUGAACAAACAUCCUUAUCCCCAAAUAACAAAAAAAGACAAAUUUUGGCGUUCAAUUUAUGGGUCUCUGAAGUCCAGGAAGCCCAAGGACCAGAGAAUGAAUAAUCCUCUUGCAGGAGAAGAGAGCACCAGUGUUAAGGGUGGGUUAAGAGUCUUUGUGGAGGCUGGGGGUGGGACGGAACACAAGGCUCCUUCAUCAUCACCCCUUGAUGAGAGAACCUCUUUAGGGGAGAUGCUUUUGUGCAGAUACUUAAAAACUUCCAUACCCUUAUAGGUGCAGGAAACAGAGAGUUCCCAGAAUGUGGGGCCUCUGAGGGAAUUGUGGUUUGUUAUGUGUCUAGGUUUGGGUUUGUAAAGCAGGCAUUGAAGAGUAGCUGUGAGUUUCCAGAAUUUGAGAGGAACAGGGUUGGUAGGUUAUGAGUGGAUCUGGGAGACCUUUCCUACACGGUCUGUUUCGAAGGUAUGGGCAGCUGUUGAAGCUACUUGAGGGAGGGGCUUGAGGUGGCCUGGCCGGAGGUCAAAAGAACCUGGAACUAACGCAAGGGUUAGAUGGACACUGUAACCCCGAGACACAAGCCAGGUGAAGGACAUUGGCUCUAUUUCUGUCAUUUUGCCAAACAUUUUGAAGAAUGGUGUGCCAAGUUCCUGUAAUGACGGACAGUGCUAGACUGGAAAACUGGCUCCUUGGUUUGGAAGCGGCACUGUCUGAGACUUGGUUCUUUGGAAAUAGACAAGGUCCCAUUCCAGGAGGAUUUUCAAGUAGAAGGUGAAUGGACAUCAACUAGGGACACUGAGAAUAAGGGCUUCAUGAUACAACGUUUGGCUGUCUCUUGAUGGGGAAGGGCAAGUGUGCUCUUGUGGUCAAGUAUGGGAGAGGUGGGUUCUGUCAUGUGGAAGUUUCUUUGAAAUUGCGAAUUUCCACUCAUGGAACAAUGGUGCCAUUAUAAGCUCAGCACCAAGGAAUGUAAAUGUCGCAUUAAAACCUUCUUGAGGUAUCUGCCGUCUCACAAUAUAUAUGCUUCAAAGUGAUGCUACUGCAUUAUAAUAAAGUAUCCUUUUGAUGACAUAUGAUCUGACAGAGCAUUUAUGUGUACGAAACAUCUUUCAAAGACAACACAAAUUGAAUAAUAUUUAGUUCUAUAUGUAAUAGAUAAGGAUUUCUUCAUACUACUUGGGGCACAAAAAUGUCAUAUUGUUUAGAGCCCUCACUUGUAAAGGGACGCAGGAAGUGUUCUGUAUUAAUCACUGGAGGGUUCUUCACUAUUUAGACUGUUCCAGGACCGCAAGUCUUAACCCUGAGAAAAGAAUCAGGAGAUUGUGGGCAGCUUUAUUCUUUAGUCCAUGGGUUUGCUUUGACGAUGCCCUUGUUCGGGCCCUAAAAUUUCAAAUACAGGCAGCUUCCCCUGCGGCUCCAUUCACCCCGGGCUGGACUGGCUGCAGUGAACUUACUUCACUGCUGCUCUCAGUUGUUAUGUGCAUGGUACACAGCCUCCCCACGGAGCCAUGAUGCUUUCUCCCUUCCAAGAUGCCUCUGCCUGAGGGAUCCUGAAUGAGAGUAGAGUGAUAAUAUUAGCCACUAUCAGAAAUGGAAAUCCCAGGGGCUGGCCCAGUGGCAUAGCGGUUCACAUGCUCUGCUGCGGUGGCCUGGGGUUCGCUUGUUCAGAUCCUGGCUGCAGACCCACCUACCACUUAUCAAGCUCUGCUGUGUCAGGCGUCCUACAUAUAAAACAGAGUAAGAUGGGCACAGGUGUUAGCUCAGGGCUGAUCUUCUUCAGCAAAAAGAAGAGGAUUGGUGGCGGAUGUUAGUUCAGGGCUAAUCCUCCCCAAAAAAGAAAAAAGAAAAGAAAUGGAAAUCCCAGCUACUCCAGUGGAUCCACAAUCAUCUUUUCUUCAAGUUGGAUAGAUCAUCCUUAGAGUUUGUUUGGUCUUUGUCAUCCAAAUAUAGUGGAGAAGAAGGGGGUUCUUCAAUCUGGCUCAUCUCCGUGUGGCUUGAAACAUACAAAUGGUGUCAACUUUCAACUGUGAGCCAGAGAAAUAUGACUCAAGACAGAUGUCUAACUGCACUUCUCUAAAGAAAGGGAAACUUUCAACUUUUCUUUUCCUAAAGUACCCUGUCAUCAGUAAAAAGAAACACCUUACCCUAUCACGUACCUUACAAUGUCCAGUGUUUUUCCAUCACUAACAGUAGCUUCCACUUACUUAGCUCCUUCUAUGUCUCAAGCAAUAUUCUAGAUGAUUUAUACAUUUUUAUGCAUUUAAUACAACAAUCCUGGUAUUAUGUAUUCUCACCCUAAUUAUUACAAAUGAUGAAACUGAGGCACCGGGGACUUACCUUAUUUGCUCAGAAAUACGUGGUUAUUAGACUUCUAUUUUGUGUAGCGAAAGAAAUAUAAUUAUUAAAUUGGAAGUGUUUGGGGAAAAGCUUAAAAUUUAAUCCCUGUGUUACAAUCUUUGUGAAUUAAGGUUUUGCCGCUUACCCGUUUGGUGUGAGACUCUAAAGAUGGGGUGGGACAGAAUAUAACUUCGGUGUCAUUUCAAAAUUUUAGAUUUAGUUCUUGGCCGUGAUACGGAGGUUUUGCAAAACAUGGAGAAGACAGCUCCCCUCUUCCUCCUGCAAAGAACAGAUUUUCUAAUCCUGGUUUUGCCAUCUUGGUGAGCUUGUUGAUCAUUUUGGCCACUGCUCUCUGGCAAGACCCUUGCCUUGCCCACUGCUCUCUUAAAAACAGCGCCUUUACAGCACAUGGAACUUUAAAGAGUAGAAAUUACAGUGACGUGGCUGAUUGUGCUGACAGUUUUUGAAGAAAUUGUAUUUAAGGGAAAUGCUAAUUGCAGAGCACAGCCAACAUUUUAAGAGAAAAUAUUUAUCUAAGCUGAACCAAGGUUUGUCUUUUAUAAUGUUUAUUAUGGAGAAGGAAAAAUAUUUUCACAGCCCUUAAAAUUUCCUUAAGCAGCAACUGUUGUUCUUUAGCAAAUCUGGGGAAGCCUCAGGGAUGAGGCAGCACAUUGGCCAAAUUGGGGAGCUUUCAUAUUUCCCAGGGAAGGAAACGGAUUUGAAGAAUGCUCCGGUCCAGAAGCAGAGGUGGAAAGGUGACCUCUGCUUGCUGUGGUGUGAACAGUUGAUUCCGUUCCUGUGAUGAUUCCUGUCUGUGCCCCAGCACUGAAGUUGCCCCAGUUUAUUAAACCGAGUUGAAUGGACAUUGCUGACGGGAGUAUUAGCACCUUUGCUUGCCAUGUGGUUGAACCCGACUAAUUCAUUUAUCUGUAAAGCCCCAGAUCAAACACCACUAUUUCUUGUAGUGUUUCUUGUCUUCCCCAGACAAAAUUAACGCUCUUUGGAUUUCCCAAAACACUUGUCAUAUACCUCCAUGCCUUGAUUUAGUAGGUCCAUUUCUCUACUAAACUGAGCUUUUUGAGAGCAGAAAGUAAGUGUCAUCUCUGACGUUGCAGUACCUGGUGGCAGAUUAUGAACUAAAGUGUUGAAAUUUGUCUAAUACCAAGGAAGAUGGGAACAUAAGUGACAUCUGUCUUUGGGGGGUUUUCACUCAAGUUCCUCCAGGGCUACCCUUUAUCUCAUGCUGUGUCCCCCAAAUGCCUGUGACCAUCUGCUCUUGGAUUCUUUGUUUACUCUUGGGCAAGGCUUCUCAGACUUCCUAUGGAGGCAUCAGAAACAUCAAACACUUGCUAGCUGUACCCCUCAAGAUCUGGAGAUUUGGAGCCAGCUGAAAUUUCUUGGCAUUUCAUACUUCAUCUCAAAAAUCUAUCUACAGUUUAUGUUUCACAUGUCCUGCUACAUGUGACAAGUUUUCUCAUAAAACUUCUGGAAAAUGUACAUCAUUUCAUAGUUCCAGAGGGGGUAGUUUGAGAAGGGUGGUGCUAAGCAACCAAAACUGAUCAUGGCUCAUUGUGGGCAUCUUCCUCGUAAGGCAUCAGAUGGCACUCUGCGAGGAGGAAUUUCUGAAACCUGGAAAUGAGGGAAUUCGGAGAGUAGUAUCCAGGCAGCAAUCACUUCAUUAGUUGUAUCUUAUUCUGUGUAACAAAAUUUGUUCCCAGUAGGGAUGUUAGAAUUAGUUUGGAGCCCAAGUUUUACUCUCUUGUUAAUUGCUGAUAGAAAACAUACCUUGUAGACUACUGAAAAGAGGAAAUGAUAACAACCUAUUUAGUGUUCUCCGAAAUUCUGUACACGUUACCUAAUAAUAUCAUAAAAGAGCUUACCCAGGUUUAGAUUGAUUUGUAUGAAUUGUAAACCAGUUUGUGCUUUUCCAUAUAAACAUCUCAGGUUGGAGUAACCAUUGACUGCAUCUUAAUUUUGGACACUGACCAGUAAUAAAAAUCAAGACACAAGUUAACCAAAGACAGAACAAUAUGUGCCAUGAAGAGUAAACCAUUCCUCCUUAUAGGCACUUUCCCAAGUCACUGAUUUUCCUCCUUGGGACAGGGUCAGAAUCCUUCUGUCAAACGCUCAGAUCAACUGCAGUCAGUAUGUACUAUGUAGGCGCCAUGGGGCAGUUUCUGUGCAGCUCUCUAUGAAAGGCCUGAGGGCUUUUCCCAGAGGAAGAUGUUAAUGGCUUUCUACAAUGAUGUGUUGUUUCUUUAACUUGCCCUGAGUUGAUGGAUUUCAAAUAUACAGUUGGACACAUACACUAAUCAAGUAGUGUGGGUUCCAUUUUGCCUUGCGGUGCCCAGCGUCCAUUUGUCAACCAGUGCCCUUUUCAGGGGUUGUCCUCUGAAAGCCCCAAGUAGAACUGUGAGGUUAGCAGGUAUCCUGUGGGGCAGUUUCUUCUUCAUAUUGCUUUUACUUUGGGGAGGUAUUUCAGAGAAUUUAUGCUCCCCACCAAGUAUCAGCACUAUGCAAAAGAAAUAGGAGAAAUUUUUUUAUAUUCUUUUUUAUUUUACUCAAUAUAUCCAAAACAUUAUCAUGUCAAGACGUAAUAUUGAAAGUUAUUAAUGAGAUAUUUUACAUUUUUAAUACUAAAUCUUUGAAAUCUUGUCUGUAUUUUACACUUAAAGUACAUCUCAGUUUGAGCUAGCAUUUCAAAUGCUCAAUAGUCACAUGUAGCUCAUGGUCCCUGUUUUGAACGUGGGUCAAAACCUUCUCUUUUUACCCAGACUCAUGCUUUCCUAAAUCUCCCAGGCUCUGAAGUGGCCACUCUUAAUAUACAAACUCCAUUUAAAGUCCCAUUCCUGACUCCCACCACUGGUGGUUAAGCAAAUCACUGCUUGAUUAAUGUAGUCACAGGCCCGCUCCUCCCAGCUCUUCAGGGCUCUCCCAGUCCCAGAGCUCUUCGUGGAAUCUGCUGAGGCCUGUGUUGGGACAGCAUUGUGGCUUUUCCUCUCUCUCUCCCCAGUUCUGCUUUCUUCUCUUCACCUCCCCACAGGUGUACCUCCUGAGCAUCCCUUCCAAUAACCUUCCUACAGGCACAUCUCCAACUCAGUGUCUGCUCCCCAGGGACCCCAAUCUGUGAUAGGCACUAAGAGUUGACUGUUUUGGUCUGACAAAGAGUUGAUGUGUAUAAUAUGUCUUACAGAAACAAUACAAGUUCAAUCAUAUUGAGUUCUAAUUGUAGUAGUUAUAGAUUUCUCCGCAAUACUGGUGUUGCCAGAAAUGUAACAUUUCCUUUCUAAGUUAAAUCAAAUCUGGCUCAGGGCUCUCACUUGAAGAAGUGGACAAGAGGUUCUGUACUUGUCAUUCUCUGUGGCUCUUUCCCCACCAUUGGCGCCAAGAUCCCAGGUCUCAGGUCUGAGAAAAAGUUGGUGGGGAGGUGGGCAGGCCCUGCCCAGGCCUUCUCACAGGCAGGCCACUCUCCUUGUGGCGUCCCUCACCCGGUGCUGGCCUGGGACCUCAGUGCUCCUCUCUGUACUGACAUGCUAGGUCCACAGACCCCCAUGUGACCACACGUGCCCUCUUCAUUAUAGAGGAGGAAAAAUAUUUUUACAACCUAUUUCCUCCCUUGAAAUUUCAGGCUUUAUUCAGCAAUUUCCUCAUCCACGAUGAGGGGAUUUUAUUCCUUAAACAGCAACUGUUGGCUGCCAGCCAACCCAGAGCCACCUCAGGAAAGUUGCAGAGCCCUAGCUGAGCUGGCUAACUUUCAUAUUUCCCCAGGAGAGGAAACAAUUAUAAAUCUCUCUACCCAAGAAACAGAGAUGUAGACGCAACCUCUGGUUCAUGUGCUGGCGACAGGUGGUUCAAUUUUUAGGAGGAUGCCUACCUUUUUUCCUGUUUAGGUCCUGAAAUUGCCCCCAUCCUCCUCUAUAUUAAGUUGGGUUGGGCAGCCAUUGCUGACAGAUGGACCAGAAGAGGUAUGAUUUAUCAUUGUUAUGGGUUGAAUUGUGUCCUCCAAAAAGAUUUGUUGAAGAUCUAACCUGCAGUAUCUCAGAAUGUGACCAUAUUUGGAAAUAGGAUAUUUACAGAUGUAGUUAGUUAAGGUGAGGUCAUACUGGAGUGGGGUAGGCCCUUAAUCCAGUAUGACUGAUGUCUUAGAAGAGGAGAAGAGACACAGACAUGGCGGGGAGAUCACCACGUGAUGAUGGAGGCAGAGACUGAGAGCUGCAGCUGCAAGCCAAAGAAGGCCAAAGACGGCCGGCAAACCAGCAGAGGCUAGGCGAGGCCCAGAAGGGCUCUCCCCUAGGUUUCAGAGGGAGUGUGGCCUGCUGACACCUUCAUUUCGGACGUCUAACUUCCAGUGUUAUGAGACAAUCAGUUUCUGUUGUGAGCCACCCGAUCUGGGCUACUUUGCUACGGCAGCUCUAGGAAACUAACACAGCCAUUAUCACAAAACCUUUAACUAGUGAAGGCAGAAAUAGCUCUGGUUUUCUGUCUUUCAGUCCAGAACUUGAUCCAGGCACUAUUCCCAAAGUUGCCAACUUCUAACUGCUUUAGGGAGACCAUCUGUUUAGAUCCUCUGGUGACAAGUAUUGCUGUAGUUUUAAUAAGCGGGUGAGCGCCAUGGACGUGACUUAGGAGCUGAGAGGUCCAUUUCUAGCUCAGGGAAAUCAGCGAGGCUGAGAGGAAAGCUAACUGAGUGUGGGGACCUGGGAAGUCACUGUCUGGAUUUGGCUGUGGCCCAGGAGGGCCUUCCUUACAGGACUCUGUGUGGCUACUCUGUAGAGUUUAUGGGUUCUGAGAAUGAAGCUCUAGAAACGAAUUUUAAGAUUACCUGGUACCACUCGGUGUCUUGUUUCAUGUGUAGGAAAUCAAGAUCUGGGACAGUUAAAUGACUUGCCCAGAGGUCCCACUGGUAAAUGGUAGGGUCAGGACCAGAGCCCCAAGCAUCCUGAGAUGCAGGCCAGUGUGCUUUCCCCAGCUCUGGACUCCUGGGUAGGUCUGUCAAAACGUCGUGCAAAGUCAGGAAGCAACUCCGAAGAAGCUCCGCACUGACUUCCCAAAACCAGCAAGGUAAGCAGACUGGGCCCUGGGCACAAGGCCAUGAAUUUGUCUGAGCCUCAAGUAACUUCCAAAAGGCAGUGAGUGUUGACAUCACAGACAGACUUUAGGCUUUUGCAUCAGUUCACAGCGUUUAGACCUUUGCUCUGGUUACAGACCAAGUAACUUCAGGAGGAGUUGUACGUGUAAACUUUCUGAGCCAGAAUUUAUCUUUAAAGGUUAGGUCGUUGUAACCCUGCAGGACUGAGGAGUGAUGAGCUAAGGGACCUUUUGUAAAGAGCUUGGCUCAGUUAGCCAUCUUUCCUCCUUUUGUUCCUUUUUAAAUUUUCAUCUCUGUCUUCAGAAUUUAACCUGAUAUGAUAACAAUGAGUAUAGUGACAAAAUGUUACCUUUACUUCUGCUACCAAAAAAUAGAGAAGAUUUACUGAGCAAAUGCCAGACCCUGUCACCUAACGGCUUUACAUGGAUUACUAAUUGGCCUAACUCCAGGAUGCAGUUACAACUGUUAACCUCAUUGUAUAGACUUAAAAAACUGGAAGCUUAACUAAAUUAAGACACUUGCUCAGGCUUGCACAGCUCGACAGCGAUGGAGCUGGAAUAGGAACCCACACAGUUUGUGUUUUCUCUGAUGACAUAAUAUGAAAAAUCAAAAUGAGCAACAUUAGUCCCCAGUGUCCACCAUGAAAUUAGAGGAGAGUCAUGUUGUGAGGCAGGAAACUAGGUUCACAGUUACCAACAGGUGGCAAAGUUUGUCAAUUUACAGCUUUUGCUGAAUUGUCCACAACCUUAAAUGCCUUAGUAGAGUUGGUUGCGGCUUUCAAAUAACAAACAGUAGGUCCGUGUAGCUAAGAUACGAUAACUGAGUACUCUGGGGUAAUAUUUGAAAUGUUGGAUUAUUUUCCAGCAACACUGUCUGUUCUACUCAGAUCCAUGGCCAAACAGACAAUAUGGUUUAUACAGCCAUGUGACCCUCGAGUCCUCCAUACAACAUCCCUUCCUCAGGAUUGUCCAGACUACUUGAAUGACUCCAAAGAUGGGGAGGGUGCCACCUCUUAAAGAAGCCCUUUCCACUGUUAGAGAAUACUGACGGAAAAUUCUGCCUGUUGGUGGAUUAAUGGCCUAAAUGUGAAUAAGUGAAACUUUUAAAACAUCAGAAGAAAAUAGAGAAAAAUACCUUUAUGACUUUGGGGCAGGGAAUUAUUUCUUAAGCAAAAUCACAAACGAAAAACAUUGAUACAUCUAAUUACAUUAAAAAUUUUAAACUUCUAUUUCUCAAAAGACAUCAUAAAAAUAUGAAAAGCGGGUCACAGGGAGAUUAUGUUUACAGCACUUAAAAAUGACCAAGAAGUCGGGGCUGGCCCUGUGGCCGAGUAGAUAAGUUCGCGCGCUCCGCUGCAGGCGGCCCAGUGUUUCGCUAGUUCGAAUCCUGGGCGCGGACAUGGCACUGCUCAUCAGACCACGCUGAGGCAGUGUCCCACAUGCCACAACUAGAAGGAUCCACAACGAAGAAUAUACAACUAUGUACUGGGGGGCUUUGGGGAGAAAAAGGAAAAAAUAAAAUCUUUAAAAAAAAAAAAAUGACCAAGAAGUCGUGCCCAAUGUGUGUGUAUAUGUAUAACAGGAGGAAAUAACACAAUAAGAAUAUAAAAAGCGAAAGACUUUUAAAAGAAUCUUAUAAAAGAAACUUGAACGGCUAGUUAACACAUGCAAAAUUGCUGAACUUCAAUUGUAAACAGAGAAAGGCAAUUAAAACUAUGAUGGUUUACCAUUUUUAACUCAACUAUAUUAGUUUGCUGGGGCUGCCGUAACAAAGUAGCACAGACUAGGUGGCUUACACAACGGAAAUUUAUUUCUGGAGAGUUCUGGAGGCUGGAAGGCCAAGAUCCAGGUGUCGGCAGAGUUGGUUUCUUCUGAGGCCUUUCUCCUUGGCUUGCAGACGGCCAUCUCCUCCCCAUGUCUUCACGUGUCCUCCUCUCUGCAUGUCUGUGUCGUAAUCUCCUCUUCUUAUAAGGUCAUCAGCCAUAUUAGAUUAGGGCCCCCCUUACUGACCCAAUUUAACCCUAACUACCUCUUUAAAGACCCUAAUUCUGAAUACAGCCACAUUCUGAGGUACUGCGAGUUAGGGCUUCACAUAUGAAUUUUGGGAGGACACAGUGCAGCCCACAAUACUCACUAUGUUAGCAAUAUUUAAAAACCUGAUGAUACUAAAGGUAGUUGAGGAUGUGGAGCAAUUGGAAAUCUUACAUACCACUGAUGAGGAAAGUGAUUUUGCAUUAAAACUAGAGAUGUAAAUACCCUAUUACCAGCUAUUCUGUUCCUAGAGAUGUACUCUAGAAAACCUGUGCACAGGUGAUUGAGAAGGCAAAUGAUCAUACCAGCACUGGAAAAACUGGAAACAACCCAAACAUCUGUCAGCAAGAGAAUGAGGUAUGUUUAUACAAUGGAACACUCUACACCAGGGAAAAUAAACGAACUAGAGCUAUGCCUGUAUACCGAAAUGAUUCUUACAAAUAGAAUGUGGAGUGAAGAAGAGCAUGUUGCAGAAGAAUAUUUAUAGUAUUACUAUUUUUAUAAAGUUCAAAAACAGAAAAUAAAACAAUAAUUUUUAGGGAGAUAUAUAUGUAGUAAAGCUAAAAAGAGAGAACAUUAAGCCCAAAAUUCAGGAUAGUACUUAGCUCUGGAAAAGGAAAGGGACAAAGAUGUGGUCAAGAAGGGUUACCUAGGGGGCUUCAACUGUUUGGAAAAGAGUUUAUUUCUUAAGCUGGUUGGUACGUAAAUAGGUGUUCACUAUAUUUCAAUACAUUAUACUUUGGGAUUUUUUGUGUAUAUGAAACGUCUUUUUUAAACAAACCUAAAAAAGAAAAAUUGAAGAAAAUGUGAAUGGAGUUUAGCUACUGUGGACAGAGAAACACAAUAAGUCUUCACCAGGAAUGUUGCUUUUGGCCAACAUUAUAGCAGUUACUGGUGAGAAGGAGAAUGGAAUACUUCAAACUUUGGUUGCUAUUCGUGGAGAAAAGACAAAUAAAUCAGUGACCAACUAAGAUCAGACAGUUGGUUGGGGAUCAAGACUGGAACAGUUUAUUUUCUAGACAGCCCAGGAGAAAGACAUAAGCUGUUAUACAUCAACCACUGUGUUCAUCAACUUAAUAAGUCAUAGCAAGUACUUGAUUUAAUAUAAAGGUAUCAUGAUAAAUCACUUUUAUAAUGUAAAUGUGCCUACAUGGUUGAAAUUUUAAAAGACUAUUCAUGUGACUUAAGGAGAUUCGAAUACCAUUAAUGACAGUGCACAUAACUUGAAUUAAGCUAUAACAGUUCUCUUAAGACAAGCACCACAGGAAAGAAUAUACUAACUCCCUUAGAGUGGAAAUUCAAAGUUAAUACUAGUUUCUCACCUGGUUCCUUUUCAGACAAAAAUAUGAACAAUAAAGGUAAAUUCUCAAAAGGAGGAAGAGGACAGAUAUAAGAAGUGAUUCUUAACGUCAAAUGAGCUUAAAACUCUGAAAAGACAGGAUGCACGGACACAUACAAAAAAACCCAGUUAAAUAGCAGUGCAAGACUGUGUCCAGCUUCAGCAAACAUUUGACCACCUGCCACGUGCCAGUCCUGUGUGGGGUCUGAGUAUGGAGGUGAAACACAAAAUCGCCUUCCAAGAGCUUUGGGGGAGAGACAGACAGGCAAAUAAACAAUCUGAAUACUACUUGAGAAGUGCUGUCCCAGCAGAGGGCACGGCCCAGCCUGGGGAGGCCCACCUUUUAGGUGGAGGUGAUGCUUGAACUAAGUCUUAAAGAAUGAAGAGGAGUUAUGAAGGCAGAUGGGAGGUGAGCUCUCCAGGUAGAGAGAACAGCAUAAGCACACAUGAUGUGAGAGAAUAUGGGCUUUCAGCAAAUAGCAAGACAAGUGAUUGAAGGCAUGGUGGGUACAGCUGGAGAUGGGGCUGGAUUCAGUGUAGGGAGAGGCCAGAUCACCAGCAUUCUUGCAUACCAGGCAGAGGAGCUUGGGCUGUAUCUCAAAGGCAGUGGGGCACCACAGAAGGCUUGAAGGCAGGGAGUGACAUCAUCAUGUUUGCUUUCCAGCUCCUAAGAGGAACAGGGAGGGCAGGUUGCUUCGAGUUGAGAGUGGACACUGAUUAUCACAGCCUCGAGAGCCAGGCACAAAGAGAUGACAUUGAAUCCAUGGGGAUGAGUCUGAGGGGGGACUGCAGAAAAAACUCUUGGAACAGAAACUUUUCAAGGUAGACAAAAGUUGAGGAGAGUAGCCAGAAGGAGAUGAUACAUGCAAAAGUUACUUCUUACUUUCUCCUGAAAAUUUGUGUCUGGGCUGCUUUAGUUAAGAAACAAAGUUUCCAGUAUAUUUUAUAAACACACUGGGCCAUAAGCAACUGAAAACACUGUUUUGGGAAAAGAACAUAAGCUAUGGAGUCAAGACCAGGGGUCUGAGAAAUUGCUCAGCCAAGUGCUGGUGUAUCUUGAAUGAAAUACUGAAUUUCAGUUUCCUUGUCUGUAAAAUGAGUAUGAAUUUGACAUGAUUAUUGUGAGGAUUGAAUAAGUAAUGUUUGUAGAAUUGGCUUGAAGUACUAUGCACAUGGCACCAACAUAAAGGAGAUCAAUAUCUGAUGUCAAAGGAGAAAGUCUAACCAGCUGAAGACUCUUAAAAAGUAACGACGAAUUAGAUUAGAUAGAGAUCUGGAGAGAAAAACACACAAUAGGAAGAGUCUAGACACUCCUCUUGAGGAAGAAAAAAAUGGAGAUUGAUUUGAUUAACCUUGACCUCCACUUGUUAAUUUGAUAAAGAUUUAGCUGUAAUAAUAUUAAAUAGUCUGCAAUUCUUUGAAGCUCUUUUAAUAUGGACAAGGAACUAGUUUGUUUUUAAAAAAUGUUUCAUAUAUUUUUCAUAAGCUGUUUUCAAAAGC
rnacentral:lncRNA from 1 species